UAUUAUCUCUCCUUCCCAUCCACCCCUUUUUCUGUAAACUAUACGUAUUUCUUGUUUACUCAGGUGACCUAUAAUAAUUGGUCUGUGUCCUUUGUCGUGUGUUAAUAAUCGAAUAUUUUUAACUUCUUGAUAACUACCAUUCCAAUUCUUCUCAAAUUUCAUUCCAAGCAUCUUUUGGACAAGGGGGACAUCAUUUGUAAAUUUCAGGAUUCCUGAACCCUUCUCUAGAACCACAGGACCCAAUUUCAACUUAGAACAGACCAUACUUGGAUGAAGGGAUCCAUGAUUGUUCAAUUAUAGGGCUUCAACCCAUUCCAAGGGAGAUAACAAAGAAAUGGCAAAAAUAGGAUUGAGUCGUUUUCGAAUCUUUACAAGAAGCACUGUUUUACAUAGGGAUAUAUGGGGAAAUCUUUGAAAAUCUUUUCUCAAAAACAAAAAACAAAACAGUAGGACAAUAUAUGAUAUACAAUCAUUCUAAAGUUGGUAGGGUGGGGUCACAAUAGGGGAUCAACAUUUAGGGCACUUGAAAUUAAUUAUCUGGUUCUCAGGCCAAUUUUCUCAAAACCAGAUGAGGGAGGGAGGCAUUUUGUUUUCAUUUCUAUUGGGCAUGAAAUAGGUGAUGGAGGCUUUUUUGAAAUCUGAAACUUGUUGGAAAAGAAACUUUAAACAUAAAAGUUCUCUGACACCUACACUUUGUUGUUCGGUGAUUAAAGCUUUAUACAUACUUCAGACAUACAGAUUCAGCAAAUAUGGAUGUUUACAUGAAUCUUACAUUAAAAGUUCAUCUAAUGCAAUUCUUUUGUGAAGUAAAUUAAAAUUUAAACUGUAACAAACUUGAAAAAACAUCACACAGGUCCUGUUUACAUAACUAAGAAUUGAGAGUGCUGUAUCUCAUUUAAAACUCAAAAACUGAUCAUCCAAAGUUUUACUGACCAUUAGAAAUACCCCAGUUAAACAUAAUAAAUAUUACAAAUGACAAAAUAAGAUUAGAAAUGUUUAGUCCAAAUCAUGUGUAUGCCCCUUUAAGCAUAAUAUAGUGGUGUUACUUAGUCAAUUUGUGAUUAAUGUACGAAUAAAUUUUACAGGGUAUUGGUCACUGGAAGAGUCUGGCUGAUUGACGAGGAAUUGUCCUGAGACUGUGACAUAUUGUAGAGUAGCGGUCACCAGAGAUGUAAGGCUGAUUGAUGAGGGUUCUUUUCCUGAGACUCUGUAAAAAUAUCAGAAUUUGGUGUGAAGUGAUUGGUUGUACAGAAAUUUCAAGUUCUCCCAGAUCCAGGGAAACAUGAGGACUGUGGAGUGUCGUGAUGUUAUUGAUGGUCAACAGAAGACUGUGACCUUGAAUCUGAAGAUAUGUGAUGAAGACUGGACGUUUGGGGUCACUCUCUGUUACAGUACUACAAAUCUAACAGUGUGAUACUCAGCCACAAAGAGGUUGUCUUUGAUGUCCACACAUAAACCCCAUGGAGUGUAUAAAUAACAGUGAAUGUAACGGAGGAACUGUCCGUCCUGAUCUAGGAUGUCGAUACGGUGAUUGUGACUGUCUGCUGUCAGGAUGUGACUCUGGCUGUCUGUAGUGAUGCCGACUGGAUUAAAUGAUUGCUUGGUAUAAGAGGGAUGACCAGUGUAUCUAAAUCGGAGUUUUCCUGACUGAUUGACCACCACUACUGCUCUAGCUCCACAGUCAGCCACACAGAUAUCCAGGUUCUUGUUCUCACUGAGGUAUUUAUAGUAACCAUCAGAUUUAUAGAGAGGACGACCCUGAUCAUCAAACUGAAUGCUUUGUUUCUCUGUGGAGCCGGAGUAACGCACGACUUUGGAUUGUUUGUAAUCAUCACUGUCCAUGGUAACCAGGAGGUCGUUACCCGCGGUACUGCAGACAAAGCGAGGUCUCCACCCCUGUAGUGUGAUCACGGUUGAGUUGAGUGGAACAAUGAACCUCCAGAUAUCUAUGUACAUUUACACGUGUAGGAUUAAACUUCUGUUGCACUCGCGCAUGCGAGCUUAUCCUAUA